rnacentral:rRNA from 1 species
UGAGUAACCUGCCCUUAACUCUGGGAUAAGCCUGGGGAAACUGGGUCUAAUACCGGAUAUGACUCCUCAUCGCAUGGUGGGGGGUGGAAAGCUUUAUUGUGGUUUUGGAUGGACUCGCGGCCUAUCAGCUUGUGGUGAGGUAAUGGCUCACCAAGGCGACGACGGGUAGCCGGCCUGAGAGGGUGACCGGCCACACUGGGACUGAGACACGGCCCAGACUCCUACGGGAGCAG